AAAACCCUGCGGGAUUCGUGAUUGUAGGGAAAGUUUGGAGCCAACACCUCUAAAAUAGGGAUGAUACGCACCGUGGUGUGCAGGCCUGCCCCGUAGCAGGAAGCCUAAAGCGGUGGAGAUUCCCAAAGUACCUGGUUAGCCAGGGCUUUAAACCGACUCUGCACACGGUCUUGCGGGGUUUUU
rnacentral:other from 1 species